rnacentral:rRNA from 1 species
GUAACGCUGGCGGCGUGUCUUAGCCAUGCAAGUCGAGCGGACUUAUGGGGUAACUUAUAAGUCAGCGGCGGACGGCGGAGUAACACGUAGCUAACCUACCCUCUGGACGGGGAUAACCUACCGAAAGGUGGGCUAAUACCCGAUGUAGUCAUCCUGUAUAGGGGUGAUGAAAGGUGGGCUUCUGUUUACAAGCUCAUGCUGGAGGAGGGGGCUGCGGCCUAUCAGGUAGUUGGUAGGGUAAUAGCCUACCAAGCCGAUGACGGGUAGCCGGCCUGAGAGGGUGACCGGCCCGAGGGGCACUGAGAUACGGGUCCCACUCCUACGGGAGGCAGCAGGCUAGAAAUUUGGGCAAUGGGGGAAACCCUGACCCAGUGACGCCGCGUGCAGGAAGGAGCCCUUCGGGGUGUAAACUGCUGUCGUGUAGGGAGAAGGGUACUAAGGUGAACAAUCUUAGUACUUGACGGUACUACAGGAGGAAGCCCAGGCUAACCUCGUG